rnacentral:rRNA from 1 species
GACGAACGCUGGCGGCGUGCCUAAUACAUGCAAGUAGAACGCUGAAGAGAGGAGCUUGCUCUUCUUGAAUGAGUUGCGAACGGGUGAGUAACGCGUAGGUAACCUGCCUUGUAGCGGGGGAUAACUAUUGGAAACGAUAGCUAAUACCGCAUAACAAUGGGUGACACAUGUCAUUUAUUUGAAAGGGGCAAUUGCUCCACUACAAGAUGGACCUGCGUUGUAUUAGCUAGUAGGUGAGGUAACGGCUCACCUAGGCGACGAUACAUAGCCGACCUGAGAGGGUGAUCGGCCACACUGGGACUGAGACACGGCCCAGACUCCUACGGGAGGCAGCAGUAGGGAAUCUUCGGCAAUGGGGGCAACCCUGACCGAGCAACGCCGCGUGAGUGAAGAAGGUUUUCGGAUCGUAAAGCCCUGUUGUAAGUCAAGAACGAGUGUGAGAGUGGAAAGUUCACACUGUGACGGUAGCUUACCAGAAAGGGACGGCUAACUACGUGC